rnacentral:rRNA from 1 species
CCUACGGGGGGCAGCAGUCGGGAAUAUUGCUCAAUGGAGGAAACUCUGACGCAGUGACGCCGCGUAUAGGAAGACGGUCCUCGGAUUGUAAACUAUUGUCGUUAGGGAAGUUAAAAGACUGUACCUAAGGAGGAAGCACCUGCUAACUAUGUGACAGCAGCCGCGGUAAGACAUCGGGGGCGAGCGUUAUCCGGAAUUAUUGGGUGUAAAGGGUGCGUAGACGGAAGAACAAGUUGGUUGUGAAAUCCCUCGGCUCAACUGGAGAACUGCAACCAAAACUGUUCGCCUUGAGUGUCGGAGAGGAGAGUGGAAUUCGUAGUGUAGCGGUGAAAUGCGUAGAUAUUAGGAGGAACACCAGUGGCGAAGGCGACUUUCUGGACGAUAACUGACGCUGAGGCACGAAAGUGUGGGGAGCAAACAGGAUUAGAUACCCCAGUAGUC